rnacentral:rRNA from 1 species
AUUGAACGCUGGCGGCAGGCCUAACACAUGCAAGUCGAGCGAGCGGCGGACGGGUGAGUAAUGUCUGGGGAUCUGCCUGAUAGAGGGGGAUAACUACUGGAAACGGUGGCUAAUACCGCAUACCAUCGGAUGAACCCAGAUGGGAUUAGCUAGUAGGUGGGGUAAAGGCUCACCUAGGCGACGAUCCCUAGCUGGUCUGAGAGGAUGAUCAGCCACACUGGAACUGAGACACGGCCCAGACUCCUACGGGAGGCAGCAGUGGGGAAUAUUGCACAAUGGGCGCAAGCCUGAUGCAGCCAUGCCGCGUGUAUGAAGAAGGCCUUAGGGUUGUAAAGUACUUUCAGCGGGGAGGCGUUACUCGCAGAAGAAGCACCGGCUAACUCCGUGCCAGCAGCCGCGGUAAUAC